CUAGAAGGAUUGACAGAUUGAUAGCUCUUUCUUGAUUUGGUGGAUGGUGGUGCAUGGCCGUUCUUAGUUGGUGGAGUGAUUUGUCUGGUUAAUUCCGAUAACGAACGAGACUCUAGCCUAUUAAAUAACACACAGAAUCAUGUCUUCUGCGGUGUUUCUUAAUGGGAUCAAGUGUGUUUAACACUUUGAAACAGAGCAAUAACAGGUCUGUGAUGCCCUUAGAUGUUCGGGGCCGCACGCGCGCUACAUUGAAAGACAAAAUGAGCGUUUCUGGUUUUUAACAAAACUAGUAAUCUUUGAAUGUUUUUCUUAAUGGGGAUAGGGGAUUGCAAUUGUGCCCCUUGAACGAGGAAUUC
rnacentral:rRNA from 1 species